AACGCACAUUGCGCCCCUUGGUAUUCCAUGGGGCAUGCCUGUUCGAGCGUCAUUUGUACCCUCAAGCUUUGCUUGGUGUUGGGCGUCUUGUCUUUUAUUAGACUCGCCUUAAAGUCAUUGGCAGCCAGUGUUUUUGGUAGUAAGCGCAGCACAUUUUGCGCCUUAGUCCUUAAAUCGUGGCAUCCAUGAAGCCUCUUUUUCACUUUUGACCUCGGAUCAGGUAGGGAUACCCGCUGAACUUAA
rnacentral:misc_RNA from 1 species